AUUGAACGCUGGCGGCAUGCUUUACACAUGCAAGUCGAACGGUAACAGGCCGCAAGGUGCUGACGAGUGGCGAACGGGUGAGUAAUGCAUCGGAACGUGCCCAGUCGUGGGGGAUAACUACUCGAAAGAGUAGCUAAUACCGCAUACGAUCUAUGGAUGAAAGCGGGGGACCGUAAGGCCUCGCGCGAUUGGAGCGGCCGAUGUCAGAUUAGGUAGUUGGUGGGGUAAAGGCUCACCAAACCAACGAUCUGUAGCUGGUCUGAGAGGACGACCAGCCACACUGGGACUGAGACACGGCCCAGACUCCUACGGGAGGCAGCAGUGGGGAAUUUUGGACAAUGGGCGCAAGCCUGAUCCAGCAAUGCCGCGUGCAGGAAGAAGGCCUUCGGGUUGUAAACUGCUUUUGUACGGAACGAAACGGCUCUGGUUAAUACCCGGGGCUAAUGACGGUACCGGAAGAAUAAGCACCGGCUAACUACGUG
rnacentral:rRNA from 1 species